GAUAAAAAGAGAAAUUUACAAAGGACAAUUGAAGCGGACAGACAACAAUUAUAUGGCAACCAUGGCGUGAACAAAAAAAGGAUAAAUAGGAGUAUUUCAAGAAACCUCGUUAUCAGAUCAUUUUUAGUUCAUCUUAAAGAUCGUAUCCAGAAACGAAGUAUCAGAGAGCCACGGCCAGGACUAUUCGAGUGUUAGGCCCAUUUACAUAACAUAUUGGACAUCAACAUCAACCAUCAUCAUGAACGACACAUUACCAGACUAGGCC